rnacentral:rRNA from 1 species
ANUUUNUCCUGGGGUCUGGAAAGACUGGNGGAUUGGGGGGGGAACAUAAGAACCUACCUUUUGGAGAGGGAAACCAUUGGGGACGAUGGCUAAUACCUCAUAUUGCUGACAAGUGAAAGAUGAAAAUCGCCAAGAGAUGGGCUUGCGGCUGAUUAGCUAGUUGGUGAGGUAAUGGCUUACCAAGGCGAUGAUCAGUAGCUGGUCUGAGAGGAUGAUCAGCCACACUGGGACUGAGACACGGCCCAGACUCCUACGGGAGGCAGCAGUGAGGAAUUUUCCGCAAUGGGCGAAAGCCUGACGGAGCAAUGCCGCGUGAAGGAUGAAGGCCUAUGGGUUGUAAACUUCUUUUCUCAGAGAAGAAUUCUGACGGUAUCUGAGGAAUAAGCAUCGGCUAACUCUGUGCCAGCAGCCGCGGUAAUACAGAGGAUGCAAGCGUUAUCCGGAAUGAUUGGGCGUAAAGCGUCUGUAGGUGGCUUUAAAAGUCUCCUGUCAAAGAUCAGGGCUUAACCCUGGGCCGGCAGGAGAAACUCUAAGGCUAGAGUUUGGUAGGGGCAGAGGGAAUUCCCGGUGGAGCGGUGAAAUGCGUAGAGAUCGGGAGGAACACCAAAGGCGAAAGCACUCUGCUGGGCCACAACUGACACUGAGAGACGAAAGCGAGGGGAGCAAAAGGGAUUAGAUACCCCUGUAGUCCUCGCCGUAAACGAUGGAUACUAGAUGUUGGAUAGGUUAAAUCAUUCAGUAUCGUAGCUAACGCGUGAAGUAUCCCGCCUGGGGAGUAUGCUCGCAAGAGUGAAACUC